CCAAUUUUUUAUUGGAAAUUAUGCAUGUUAAUGUACCAUUGUACUUUCAAAUGAAAGUAUAGAAAAAAGGCAAUUUAUACAUAAAACCUAUUCUGAACAUUUGACUCAUCAAAGUAGCCAUCUUUGGCAGAUAUAACAGAUGAACAAACUCGUGGCAUUCUUUAUACAGUGGAAAUCAAAUAUUCUUCAGAAAGUUCUUCCUAACUUUGUUGUAGAAGUUCCCAUAAAUGUGUGGCACUUGUAGGUUGCUUUGCUUUCACUCUUCUUUCCAGUUUAUCCAAACCAACUCCAUGAGGUUUAAGUCUGGAGACUGUGCUGCCACUCCAUGUUUUCAAGCUCACUAUCUUGACCAACUAGGAACACAACCAGAGGGUACUCCAUGGCACUGCAGAAUGCUGUGGUAGCCAUUACUGUUUUUAAAAAAAAAAAAAAAAAAAAAAACUCUGGCAGUUCACUGCUUACCUUUGAACCAUUUCAAGCUAUUCAUUGGGCUUAAACCGCUUGUAUUUUAAUUUUAAAAAAUAGAAAAAUUUAUAUGUUCUUUGACCAGUAGUUUACAUUCAAUGAUUUGAAAGUCUUAAAUUAUUUAGAUUUUGAAUAACAUGCUGUUGUUUGCUGUAUAUAUAGUGUUUCCUCUCCAGUUGAGAGAAACAGUUUAUAUUACAGAGUAAUAAAUAAACAGUGAACAGUCACACAAAUUACUAUUUAGUCAUCUCAAUCACUUUUUUAAUGGCAAAACUUCAACAAAUGUGAAUGCACCUGCAAUGUUAAUAAUAAAUCCUGUUUGGAUGAGGGAGCGCACACACAACUACAGAUACUGAUCUCACAUUUGUUUCACGUCUGGUUUGACUGCAAUCAAAAGUCUGGAUCGUGAUGGCUUCAUAAGGGCUGUUAAUAAUUGGUCAAAACUGAAAAACACAUCCAUGGUUAUAAGGAAGUCGUUUGGCCCAAGAUCAGAAUGCUGGACUGUGAGAGUCACAGAGACACCGACCAGUUGAGUCCUCGUGUGACUGUGUUUGGAUGAAGAAAUGGAAGCAUUCUGUUCUGAUAUAAUUUUGCAAUAAAGACAAAUGCCAGCACAUUCUCACUGACUCCUGGACUGGUCUAAUUAGUACUGCUAAAUAACAGCCAAAGUUUGACAAGCUGCUGCAGAAGAAAGUGUGGCAUUUCCUUCCAGCUUUGUCCCUCUUGUGGCUGUGCUUUAUAUUAGAAAACUGCCAAGAGUUGAUCACCAGCAGCAGAUGUCAAUCUACCAUUUUGGCACAACAAAGUUGAGAACUGAAGGACAAAAAUAUCAGAACAUCUCUGAGGUCAGGAAAAUCAUGAAAUACAGAGGGUCAGUGCAGCAGAUCAAAAUUCAAAGAGAAAAACAAUCAAAUGUGGGAUCACCAUCAUCAGUGUGGACAGCAGCUUUAACAUCCACCAUCCUGGUUUUAACCCUGUCAGCUUCUGUCACAGCGAUGUCUUCAUGUGUCUACAGCUCAGAUAAAGCUCUUAUGACAAGAAUGUUAUCAUAACAGAGUGCUAUCAUAGUCAGAACAAUGAAAAAAAAGUCCUAAAUUGAAUUAAAAGCCUUCCAACAGCUUACAUCUGUGGUUUGCUCACUGAUGUAAUCGACACGUUCCAGCUGAAACUUGCAGACUAACAUCAUGAUGCAAAAAGUCUGCCAGCAGCCAAUUUGAGACUGUGUUUAUCUUUGUCAUCAACUCUAUUCAAACCCUCCUUCCUGAAAUGCCUUUCUUUCCCCUCCACCAUACUUUACAUCUUUGCUUGUUUAGUCACAAACAUUCACCCUUGAGCUACAGAUUAGCAAUGCCGGCUCUUUGUGAAGCUGCACAAAGCCCAAGCAAUUAAAGGCUCCUCUCUCGCUUAACAAGCUCUAAUCCAGACAUGCUUUUAUUGCAUUUGAUUUUGCUCGCUGCUUGUGCCAAAAAUGCUGAGAGACAGGGACCGUGCUCUUGCUUGAAGAGCAGCAAUAAUCAUUGAGGAUUCAGACUCAGCUCAGGUUCUGGUGGCUGUCACUUUCUCGGCCACGGAUGGCAAACAAAUGAAUGUAAAAAAAAAAAGAAGAAGAAGCAAAAAAAUACGGUGGAUAGAGACAAGCCUGGAUCCACUUAUCAAACAACAGCAAAUGGAAAUUGUUUGGCAGUCUUACACCUCAGCAAAGCCAGGAAUUGUGAUUUAGAGGGAAAGUACUUUCUGAGACAACAAAAAGCCAUGCUCUCAUUACUGGAUAUGUCUGACCUAGCAUAAAUGCAUUCAGACCCGUGGAAAUGAUUGAAUGUUAACUGGGAACAGCUUCAUAACUGGAUGUUGUGGCAAGUACACAGGUGUGUGCUUUUAAAGGUAAAAUGAAACAAAAGUGGCCUUUGUCUGUACAGCGAUAACCAGAGGAGAGGAAUUCUAUUCUUACUGUCUUCAGCAAACCUGUACAAGCAGUAUUCACAUGCAAAAAGACAAGCUGCAUUUUUGUUUUAUACCUCUGCAAAGCCAUACAUGUGCAUACACAGAGAAACUAUGCAAAACUCAAUGUUUCAUGUAGAUUUCAACAGAAAAAUUAUGCAAAGUGAUAGUUUUGUGGACAGCUCAUUCUAUAUUUAAUGAAAGGCACACGGUUACACAUUGAUUAAAGGAAAUAUACAGUAGAGUGAUUACACAGGUUUGUCUGUUUCACUAUUCAUUAUUCAAUCAAAGAACGUGGCGGAGUUAUGUGACAACCUGCGUUGGUUUGUCUGUCUGUCUGUCUGUUACCAACACUACUCAAAAAUGGACUAACAGAUCUGGAUGAAAUAUUUAUAACUGUAAUGUUGAAAUUGGAGCUAAUGUAUUCACUUUAUACAGCGUAAUGCUUGGUAGUUUAAUCAAUAACAAUAAACAUCCAUCAGCCACGACAUUAUGACCACUGACAAAUGAACAAAAUCAAUCAUCUUAUUGUAAAGCAAUGUUCUGCUGGGAAACCUUGAGUCCUGGUAUUAAUGUGGAUUUUUGACAUGCACCAUCCUUCUAGGCAUUGCAAGUCAAGCAGCCCCCUAUGACAACAGCAGUCCUUGAUGCCAGUUGCCACCCUCAGCAGGACAAAGCAUGCCGACACACCGCAAAAACUCCUCAGGUGCGGCCCGGGGAACACAACAGAGCUAAAGCUGUUCGCCCGGGUUCCACACUCCCCAGGUCCAAAGCUUACUGAUCAUCUGUGGGAUGGUCCAGGAAUAGCUUGACCUGAGUAGGUUAAACCCCACAACCCACAGGACCCACAGAAUUCAUUCCCGCUAUCCUGGCACCACAGGACAUCCCCAGAGGACCUCUGUCCAUGCCCCACUGGGUCAGAGGAGUUUUAGCAGCAUAAAGGAGACCAACACAAUAUUAGGCAGGUGGUCAUAAUGUUAUGCCUGAUCAGUGUAACAGUAGUAGCAGAAAGUACGUAGAACAAGGAAAGGUCAAGUUUAUCAAAACUGUAUUUAAAUAAAGUAUGUGUGUAAGUGUAUUUAUUCACAUUUUACUACUGACAAAAUGUAUAGAAGCAUGUAAGCAUGUUUAAGAUUGUCUACCAAAUAUCUGUGAAGAUUCUCAGUCAUCCAGAUCAUGGUAGUCAUAGGAGCUUCAGUAAAAGAAUCAACUGAACUUCUCUUACAGGUUUCACCUCUCAUCCAAGAGGCUUCCUCAUUUCUAACUGACUGAUGGGUAGAAUUUAUAGUAUACAGAAUUUAUAGUCACUCCAGGUCACAUGGCUAAUAGCCCAUAAACAACCAGGACUCAUCUUGUCUCCAGGUGUGAGUUGUGAAAUCAGGUGGUCCACCAACAACAGCAAUCAUGGUGAUGAGGCAUGUCAGUUUACUCAACAAAGGAUGUGAAUCUGCCAGGUCAGGAGUGACUCAAGAUGUUAACAAUGGUGACACUUUCUUGGGAGAGACCUUAUCGCUGCAUUAUAGGUGUUUGAUAUGUGGUGUCGCAAACCCGCGCCUCUGUUUAGUGAUGGCUGUUCCAACUUGACAUAGAUGUCUUCCUUUACUCAUCUCUCAAAUCAUCUGUCGUCUCUGUCUAAAAUGUGUACAUUGCUGUCCUCAAAGGAACGUCCAUUAUCCUUCAGGUACAGGUGGACUGCUGAGUCUUGUUCCUGAGGAGCUGUUCGCCUGUGUCGAGACAUGUGCUUAUGAAGCUGUUGUUUAGUGUCUCUGAUGUGCCAGUCUGUGCACUCUGCAGUGCAUUGGACUGCCUAUAUAACAAUGCUUGCAUUUUAUCCUUGGGAUGAACCAGUCUUUGUCUCAGAGUGUUGCUGGGUCUGAAGUGCACCAGAUUUUAUGUUCGGAGAAAAUCCUCCUGAGUUUUUGGGAUACUUCAGCUACCUAUGGUAUAACAUGUUGGUCCUCAUGUUUUCUUUGCUGUUUUUUGUGGCGUUGUGUUGUGCUAGAUCUUUCUGAUGAUUUGAUGAAGGCCCAGUUGGACUAGCCACAGUUCCUCAGUGCUUUCCUAAGGUGAGAAUACUCCUUCUCCUUUCCCUCUGCAUUGGAAGGAGUGCUUUAAGGUUCUGAUGACCAUCAGUUUAUAUUCCAGUGGAUGGUGGGAAUCAAACAGCAGAUAUUGGUCUGUGUGUGUUGGUUUCCUGUAGACUUCAAUGUUAAGGUCUCCAUUCUUCCCAACAUGCACUGCACAGCAGGGGCAGCUGGUCAAUAGAGGGCGCUAGAGCACCGCCCCCUCUGUCUCACAUCAUGUAGAGUCACAGCCCUUCCUUAAAUAAAACGUUUUUAAAAUUACAUUUACAUGUAUAUCCUAUGUUUUUAACAAGCAAAAUGGAUAAUAGAGCCUGUAGAGAGUCACUAAAAUGCAUAAUUUGUAAUAAAAAGUCAGAUUAGAAACGUCCGACGUUGUCCACAAUUACUAAUAGUGGACACAUAUCUGGCCGGGGGCACCCUCAUCUUUCCCCAUUGACUCUCGUUAUAACUUUGACAUUCGCGGUUUGUUCCUCUUCAAUACAAGAGAUAGGACACAGCAGGGCGCAGGCUGACACACCACCGGCCAUGGGGUGGCAGCAGAGAGCGAGCGGUUUGUUCAUCCACUUGCCUUUAAUUAAAACCGCCAAGCGAGUGACAUUCAGCGCAGAGUGUAGGAGUAAUCAGCAAGCAAGAUUAUCAACGAGUCAUAGAGAGAGCCAAAAAAAGGAGAAAAUGGAGAGAGAAAAUUCAGUGAAGUCACUGAAAACAACGCCGUUCGAGAGGAGAACACUGCAGGAGAAACUGAGAGUGAAGGAGCUCGGACCUGACCGGCCGGACGUCUUAAUUAGACAACAGUCGGAGGACAGAGGGAGGAGAUAUAUGUGGUCUUUUCGCGGGCCUGGUAUGAGAAGACGUUUUGGCUGACAGGAUGCAGUGAGGCAGGUGCUUUAUUUUGCUUCCCUUGCCUGCUUUUUCAAGCCAAGGGAACUGAUCAAGCCUGGAUUCAGACAGGUAUGGCGGAUUUAAAGCAUUUUUCCGAGAAAGUAAUAAGGCAUGAGCAAGCUAGGAGCCACAUGGAAAAUGCUAUGCGUCUGGGCAUGUUUGGGAGAGCUAACAUAGCAGCGCAGCUUGAUGAUGGCUACAGGAUAGGCAUCCGUAAACAUAACAAGGAGGUCGACAAAAAUAGGGAUGUGCUGUCUAAAAUAAUAGACUGCAUUAAGUUCUGUGGUGCCUUUGAGCUCGCCCUGAGAGGCCAUGAUGAGAGUGAAAGCUCCGAAAAUCCAGGUGUUUUCAGAGGGCUGGUGGAUUUUGUAGCAACACUAGAUGCAGCUGUCCAUGAGCACCUUCAGACUGCCACUGUGUUUAAAGGGACAUCCAAAACAGUGCAGAAUGAACUCCUUGACUGCAUGCUGGCAGUUUUGAGAGAGUCCAUUAUUGAGGAAGUUCAGUGUGCAGACUUCAUAUUCAUCCAGGCUGAUGAAACAAUGGACAUCUCCACCCAGUGUCAGCUUGUUCUUGUGAUCCGCUACAUCGACAAAAUAAAUGAAGUGCAGGAGAGAUUUUUUGAGUUUUUACUCUGCAAUCUGCCACAGCUGAGUCCAUUGCCACAGCACUUUUGGAGAGGCUGAGCCUCCUUCUCCCUGAUGACCAGAAGAGCAAGCUCAUCUCCCAGGCCUAUGAUGGUGUCAUGAGAGGAGCCACAGGUGGUGUACAGAAGAAAGUGAGCGAUGUGUAUGCAAAUGCACACUAUGUCCACUGCUAUGCUCACCAGAUCAACAUUAUCAUGCAGCAGGUGACAUCCCAUAUCCCAAAAAUUGGUCAGUUCCUCUCUGACCUAGCUGGAUUCUCAGGAUUUUUUUCAAGAUCCCUCAAGAGAACCAGUGUGCUUGACAGAGUGGUGGCACACAGGCUUCCAAGAGCAAGCACAGUAAGGUGGAACUUCCACAGCCGUGCUGUCAACACUGUGUUUGAGCACAAAGACGACCUCCUUCAGUGCUUCGAAACCAUCAGGGACUCAGGUGACUUUGAUCCUACCACUGUCCGUGAAGCUGGAGGUUUUGUGAGACAUCCUGGAGGAUGCUACCUUCUGCUUCUUCCUGGACCUUUUCCACUGCAUCAUGCCUCAUGUGGACAUGCUCUACAGCCAACUCCAGAAGAGGUCCAUCAAUUCGGUCUUUGUCCACAGAGUGACGCAGCAUUUCACCGACAACAUGCAGAUGAUCAGAGACUCCCUCCCUACUGUCAGUGAAGAACAUAACAGUCGUGUGCCUCAGCAGCAUCUGGCCAAGAAGCACCGCACACUGGGACCAGAUGAACUACAGAGGAUAGCUACAGAGGUUUGUGACAAAAUCCUGGGCCAUGCAAAAGAGAGGUUUGCCUUCACCAAACACCUAAUCAGUGCUACACUGCUUCAAGGAGACAGAUUCCAGGAGUAUGACAGCCAGUUCCCUGAAGCAGCGCUCAACACCACCAUGGAAGCCUAUCCAAUGCUGAACAAGGGCAAGCUGAAAACUGAACUGUCGCUCAUCUUCAGCAACACAGAGUUCAGGAGUUGCUGUGGCUCUGUACCAGCUCUUCAUGAGCAACAAUCUUCAGGACACCUUCUCAGAGACUGUGUCUCUCCUGAAGAUCCUCAUCACGACUCCAAUGACGACAGCUGAAUCUGAGAGGUGAUUCUCAACACUAAAAAGAAUCAAGACCUUCCUCAGGAACACGAUGUCGCAGGAUCAUCUUAAUGCACUGGCCAUGCUCUCUAUGGAAAAGAAACUUGUCAGGGAGACCCCAGAUUUUAACCAUAGAGUCAUUGAGAAAUUUGCAUGUCUCAAAGACAGAAGAGCAAAACUUACAUACAAAAAAUAACACAGAUGUAGAGGUGCUGGCUUUAAUCUCUAAAAUGUGAGGAUUUACUUUUUUAAUAAUGUAAAUGGAAAUGUUAGUUGACACAAGUGGCACUUUAGACUGGAAGCCUGU